UCUUGGGCAAGUCUCUUAAACUUUUUGAGCCUAUGUUUACUGUCUGUCAAAUGGAAUUAAGUGUAAUUCCUCUCUCAUGGUCCUAGGCAACUUCAGUUAAGAAGGGUCCUCUGGAAUAUGAAAAAGACUACAUGGGAGAAGGACCAGCAUAAAGCAAUGUUUACUAAUGCUGAGCAUUUCAGGAACACUGUGAAACUCUGGGGUGAGCUUGCAUUUGCAGACAGGAACUGAAGGGCUGGAGAGGUUAUACUCACCCAGUUGCAGUUGCCCAGCAUGUGAAAGAGGAGACAUUCUAAACCCUGCACUUAAAAUAAAUAAAUAAAUAAAGUUACAGACUGUCUUUUAUUUUGCAAUAUCUAGGUUAGUUCCCUAUAGG
rnacentral:lncRNA from 10 species